GAUUCAAUGAAGAAAUCAUUGCCUAAUUCUGUUUAGAAAGUCCUUGCCUAUGACUUCAAGAGUUUUACCUAGCUUAUAUUCCAGCAAGUUCAGUGUUUCUGUUUUAACAUUUAGUUCUUUGAUCCAUUUUGAUUUUAGUUUACUACACAGUGAAAGAGAUGGGCCUUGAUUUAAUCUUUUGCAUGUGGAUAGCCAAUUUUGCCAAAAAAAAUUUAUUAAAGAGGCUGUCUUUCCUCCAGUGUAUCUCCAGUGUAUGUUUUUGGUCCCUUGGUCAAAGAUAAAAUAUUUGAAUAUGCUUGAUACUGUUUGUGGAUUCUCUAUUCUGACCUAUUGACCCUCAUGUCUAUUUUUGUGCCAAAAACAUGCAGAUUUUAUCACUGUAGCUUUAUAAUAUAAUUUUAAGUAUGAAAUUGUGAUGCCUACUAUUUUGCUCUUGUUACCCAAGAUUAAUUUGCUAUUCACAGUUUCUUCUUGUUCCAGAUACAUUUUAGGAUUGUUUACUCUAGUUCUGUGAAGAAGUUAAUUGGGAUUAUAUAAAAUCUGUAUAUUAUUUUGGAAGUAUGUCCAUUUUGACUAUAUUCUGCCUACCCAGGAACAGGGGAGAUCUUUCCAUUUUCUGAUGUCCUCCUUGAUUUCCUUUUUCAGAGUACUAUAGUUUUCAUUGUAGAGUUCUUUCACUUUGUUGCUUAGGUUAAUUCCUGAGUAUUUAAUUUUUCUUGAUCCUAUUGUGAAUGUAUUUUUUUCCUACUUUCUUUUUCAGUGGGUUCAUUGUUGAUGUACAGGAAUACUAUUGAUUUUUGUAUAGUGUUACAUUGCUGAAUUUGAUUAUUAAUGCUAGGAAUCUUUUGGAGAAUUUUUAUGAGUCUUUAUGCAGAGGAUCAGAUCAUAUGCAAUAAUGAUAAUUUGACUUACUCCUUCCUUUUUAUUUCUUCCAUUUUAUUUCUUUUUCUUGUCUAAUUGCUAUUGUUAAUAUUUCGAGUAUGAUGUUCAAUAGGAAUGAUGACAGUGGACAUCCUUGUCUUGUUUCUAAUUUUAGAAAGAAAGCUUUCAGUUUUCCUCCAUUUAAUAUGAUGUUGUCAGUCGGUUUGUCAUUAAUGGCUUUUGUCAGAUUGAGAUAAAGUCCUUCUAUACCCAUUUUCUUUAGUUUUUUUUAAUAAAAGGAUAUUGAUGUUGUCAAAGGCUUUUUCUGCUUCUUUUGAGAUGACCAUGUGAUUUUUGUCCUUGCUUGAGGAGUAAAGGAAAUUAAUAGUUACAAAACAGUCAAAAAGAAAGAAUAAAAAAAAAGAAAAAGAAAACCCCCAGGAAAUGAAAAACAAGAAGGCAAGAAAAAAGAUGAAAAGGGAAAAGAGAAAAAAGAGAGAAAGGAAGCUAAAGAAGGUAGAAGACAAAAGGGGAAAAACUCCACAAGUUUCCCCAAAAAAUGAUGAAAGAAAGAAAUAAUUAAAAAUAGAAAAAUUUAAAAAAUGAUUGAGUAAAAGAAAAAAAUCCUCUGUGUUUUUGAAUGAAUGGUUUCAUUCCAGGAUAUACAGCCUUGGAAUCCAGCCAGUCACAAUUUUCUCCACAUAGCUUUAGGGUCCAUGAGUUUUUGAGGUACCCUCCCUGCACCAGAGGCCACUCUGUCCAUUCUCCUCAGACUGUGGUAACCAUCCAAGCCAAGGAAGAAGCUGAGUUCCUAUGAGGCUGUCCACUCAAAGACUUCCACAUCCAAAUUCAUGUCAUAUCAAGCACUGAUGCUAUUUUUUCUGCAUUGCCUUCA
ensembl:lncRNA